AUUCCUGACCUGCUUUUAGAACUGCUUCUGCUUUUGGGUCUACCCUAGAGUGUUUGGUAAAAUUUUCAAAAGCAGCUUUAGGUCCAAAUAGCUUCUCCCCACAGCUGAUUUUGAGAAGCUACCAAUUGGUUGCUUUUGGAGCUGCUUUGGGGAAAAACACGGAGCAACAGUAGAAACUUAAUGAAAUUUGUUAAACUACCAAUUUUGUCCUCCUCCUUUCCGGACAAUUACAUUGAAACAAAUAGGGUUCAGCUUUGAUCUUCAUCCCCUCUUUGCCGUCAAAACUACAUUGCAACAUCUGUUGCUCAUCGAACUUCUCCUCCUUCUCUCUUUGCAAAUUGGUGUGCUUGAAAUUCCGGGGCAAGACAAGCCUCGCCAACUCCACAGGGUCCCAAACCACGAAGCUUCUUCUAGUAGAACCCCACGAUAUGAUCAAAUCCAGCGACGGGUCGUCCACCAAAUCAAAUGUCUUUGCACAAAAACGGCGGCACUGGAGUCUCCUGCAGACACUGAAGCGGCUGCGGCACUCCCACAUAAUCGCUACUCCCACCACUGAAAGGUUCAAUCUUGCUCUCCUCACCAUACUCUCAGUCACUCCAAUUAUAUGUAGAGUUUGGCAGAGAGUGAACACUGCAAACUCUUGAAAGGUCACCCAUUUCAGGUUCAGGUUGAACUCGCUUAGCACAUUUAUAAUGGAUUUGGAAGUUUUGGGGCAUGAGUUGCAGUUCAUUCAGGAUCCUAAUUCAAAGCAUCUAGGAACUACGGUUUGGGAUGCAUCACUGGUAUUCGCCAAGUUUCUGGUAAUGACUGUAACCCUCUAGAGACUCUUGUAAAGUUCCCAUGAUUUUAGCUUUCACAUGUUGCUACGUUCUUCUGGUGUAUGAUUUGUGUAGGUUUACGGUUUGAGUUGAAACUUUAUGGGUCCAUUUGAGUCCAAGAUUUGGAUGACGAACGAAGAGCAAGAUGUACUCAUCCUUGAAAUAGAUCUAUUAUGCAUUGAUGACUUUGAAUGUGAUUACCAGAACAUAAAAGCUAUAAAGUCUUUACAAGUUCGGUCAUAAAAGUCUCAGAAUUAUUGUUCUCAUUAGACAAUCUACAAUUCUUUCUACAAGGUUGAUGUACUUAAUAACAAACAUAUAGUAACAUAAAACAAUGACAAACAUAUUUUGUAAGUAAAUAAUCAGAAAUAUUUUGCUUCCUAGGAAUUAUUAAGGUUAUUCAGGUCACUAGUUUGGGGGCAAAAGGUAACAGUCAUACUUCUUUGAAAUUCAGAUUGGGGAUCCUGUUUGGAUUGACAGAGCUAUGUGUGCGCUGAAGAAGUUGGAUGGGAUUAUGGAGGAGGUGACCGAGGAGGAGUUGAUGGAUGCCAAUGGCGCAAGUGGAUUCUAUUAGCAUGUUUAUAUGUCCUCACACUGGUGUGGUGCUAGCGGCGUUGAUUAAGCUCCAGAUUUGGCCUGCCAGUUUGCCAACCCACCGGUUCAAGUGGGGCUGAUUUUGGGUUGAUAUGGAUGUUUUGAAGAAAUACUUGAGUAAUUUAGAGGCUCCAAAGCAUUAGUUUUGUAGAGGGCAUUGUGAGUGUGUUCUGCUCUACUGCUUCAUGUACUCUAAAUUUUAUGAAACUCCAUUGGUGAAAGCGUUUAGCCGUUUAGGCAUUGGUAUUGUUCUCUAUGUGCUUUUUACUUUGGUGAUUCAAUGUAGGAUGAGGAACUGUUUUAGCUUGUAGUGCUCAGAAUAUGGUGGAGAAGGGAGUCAUUUAUAAGGCAGCAUUGCCAAAUUUUGUGUAUGAGUUCAUUAUCAUAUGAAUUUCACCACAUUUUUCCUUAUAACAAGUUUUCUUUAGCUU